rnacentral:rRNA from 1 species
UACGAAGGGGGCUAGCGUUGUUCGGAAUUAUUGGGCGUAAAGAGCUCGUAGGCGGUUUGUCGCGUCUGCCGUGAAAGUCCGGGGCUCAACUCCGGAUCUGCGGUGGGUACGGGCAGACUAGAGUGAUGUAGGGGAGACUGGAGUUCCUGGUGUAGCGGUGAAAUGCGCAGAUAUCAGGAGGAACACCGAUGGCGAAGGCAGGUCUCUGGGCAUUAACUGACGCUGAGGAGCGAAAGCAUGGGGAGCGAACAGG